ensembl:lncRNA
AUCUUGCUGGAGAUCCCUAUGUUGCUGAGGCCUUCCAAAGUUUUAUCGUGGAACAUCGUGCUGCCAUCUGGGAAGAGAAACACCAUGGUACAGGAGCAGCUGGUGAAUGAGAAUGGCCAAAUAAACAUUGGCUCUCAUUCUGCCAUUAGCUAAUGUUCAUUUUAAAGGAGGGAACCAAAACCUAGCUAUCAGGUGUUCGGCAUACCCUUCUGAAGCCUGGAAAACAGAGAUAUCCACAGUCAGAAGCAUCUGAGGUGCCUCGCCAAUUGGCUGAGUGACUGGAUAUACUUACUGCAUUGGAAAAGCAAUAAGAACAUUUAAUAAUUCUGUAAUGAUUCCUGUCACGAAGCUCUUCAGACAUAAAUUAAUUCUCC